GGGCGAGUGGUGGAACGGUAGACACGAUGGACUUAAAAUCCAUCGCCCCUUCAAGGGGCGUGAGGGUUCGAAUCCCUCCUUGCCCACCA
rnacentral:tRNA from 1 species